AUUUUUUACCAUAUAAGUAAUAAUCUUUGAAGUCCUGACAUUGCAACACAAUUUGAAUGAAUAAAUAAAUACACGAGAGCAUUAAGGGCACUAUAAGUUACAACAUUGCAUCCAUCAAUACGGGGCAAUACAAAAUAAAACCUAAAACAGAGCAAACUUUGAACUUGGUGUUUGUUGUUUGAUCUUGGAUCGACAAGGAACUUUUACAUGGCUAAAUUCUGCACAAAUAAAGUAAACUUGACAUGGACUAAUAACAGGUACACACCCAAGUUCCGAUGAAAACGAUGAUAGAUUACGCAGCUAGAGAGCAUCUCGAGUUUGUUUGCUUGCAUGGUUGAGUAAAUGGUACUUCAAUAACCUUCAGGCUAGUUGCAUGCAAAACUUGGGAGGUUUAUUUUCUAGCAAUUGAUACCACA
rnacentral:lncRNA from 1 species